GAGCGUCCGCAAUGCUUGCAUGGAUGCAUGAUCAAAGCUGUUCAUCAAGGUGCAACCACAAUAUGGCUUUCGUUGUGUGGAAUUCAGGUCUGUCCACUCAUCUAAUGGCCACACAUUUACUUUAAAUGCUGACCACACUUGUAUGGAGCCUUACCAAUCACAUGCACCAAAAUAGCAUUAGCGUGUGUGGUAAGAGCUUUUUCAUCAGAUGGACCAGUGUGUACAAAACAAAUGGAUGUCUAGAAGAAAACUAUAUCAGCCAAUCCAUUUCUUUUGUACAGUCUCCGACCUGAGAAGCAAAACUGCCUGAUUUUUGUGCAAGAACAUCUAAUCAAUCUGGUUCAUGUAAUGGAAUUAUGGAAAGCUGGGAUCUCAUAUACAUCUUCCAUAUUUGCAUGUGCAGCUAUAUGUGGAUGUGCACAGCUCCACACACCUGUGGGCUUAGCAAACAACUGUUUCAGAUUUACUUAAUUUGGUAUUGAUUUGGUUGGUCCUUGUAUAUGAUAUUUGCCUUUACAGCAUGCGUAACUCUUUAACUGCAAUAGGGCAAUUUUUGUUGUUGGCAGGGAACUCAUCAAGGAGGAAGUAUGUUUGGAUUUGCUCGCAGUCAAUCCAUUCUUUGAAACCCAUGUCAGACGAGAAUAGUAAUCUCACAUCCCAAGCUUAAAUUCGGAUGGUGUUAGUAAUAUUUCUACAAAUUUACAAGUUCUCUUUUUGUUAUGACCCAACCAAAUCUAAUCGGAAGUUCCUUGCCAUCCAAUUUUUUGCCAUCUCUUUCCUAGAUAAUUGAUAUUUAUAUUCUUUCUCUAUCCGUACUUUGCAGGACAUUGACCAUCAGAUUAGAAGUUUGGUUCUGUAGGGUUUUUGGCACAUCUUCCAUCUAUGGUAGAGCUUAUCAAAUUAAAGUUUGUAUCUCACAAUUGCUGGCCCUACUUGAAAUAUUGUGAUGACCACUAGACGGAUGUGGAGGUGGAAUGAUGAUUUGACGGUGAUGAGAUGUUUGGAUGAUAUUUUCUAGCUUGAGGAUAUUUGUAUCUUUUGCAACCAA